rnacentral:rRNA from 1 species
UUGAAAGAUGGUUUCGGCUAUCACUUUAGGAUGGACCCGCGGUGCAUUAGUUAGUUGGUGAGGUAAAGGCUCACCAAGACCGUGAUGCAUAGCCGACCUGAGAGGGUAAUCGGCCACACUGGGACUGAGACACGGCCCAGACUCCUACGGGAGGCAGCAGUAGGGAAUCUUCGGCAAUGGACGGAAGUCUGACCGAGCAACGCCGCGUGAGUGAAGAAGGUUUUCGGAUCGUAAAGCUCUGUUGUAAGAGAAGAACGAGUGUGAGAGUGGAAAGUUCACACUGUGACGGUAUCUUACCAGAAAGGGACGGCUAACUACGUGCCAGCAGCCGCGGUAAUACGUAGGUCCCGAGCGUUGUCCG